GACGCGGUGUCACAAGUCCCUGUUCUUCUGCCCGCCGCUUACCUCAACCUUCACCUCAGCUAGUCUCCUCUACUCCUUUCCAAUCUACCCGCCCCGCCCAGCCCCGCCAGCCUUGUUCACCUCGGCCCGCCGUCAGCACGCAGCACUCAGAGCUAUGAGGGUGACAGCAGUAGUGAUGGCGGUGCUGUGUCUGGUCGCCGCGGGGCUGGCCUCGCCGCUGCCUCAGGAGAGACAAGAGCGUCUCUUAUUCUCGAAACUCAGCUUGCUGCAGCCAGUCAUCGACAGCGUGGCAGCAAACGUCGACCUGGAUGCCCUCGCUGAACUCAUCUACCCUUGUCCUGAAGGCCAAUCCUGCGUUGUUGUAAAGAACACUAACCUGUAAUAAGUAGGUAUAUUUCAUACAGGGACUGCCACGUGUAAACCUGAUGGCUCCUUGCAGCUUCCCUUGUUUCUUAUGUUCUUAUGUUCUAACUGAGGAACCGCCACUCCGUCCCUGCCUCGCGUGGGGUACCGGCUGGCGCUGCAGUUGCGGGUUCGAUUUCGCCACGUGGAUGUUGUUUUGGCCUGAGUUUCUCCCUUGAUCUUAGUUCAUCACAAUGCUUUACUGUUGCACUAUAUGACUCCUGCUGUCUGGCGAUUAAUACUCCUUCUCCUCCUCCUCCUCCUCCUCCUCCUCCUCCUCCUCCUCCUCCUCCUCCUCCUCCUCCUCCUUCUCUCCAUCGACCAAAUACCUCGUAACACCAAGACCUGUAUUCAGAAACGCUUUGCUCUCUCACCACGACUGUUUUCAAAGGCCACAGAGAUGGUUGGCUGCCUUCUCAAGUGUGCUUAUCCUGUUAAUAAUGCAGAAAUAUUGUUAAUCUGCCACUAGAAACCUAAAAACAACCUUGAAAACCGGUGUAACUUCAAUUAUACUGAGCCUUAUGAAUGUAGUGGUAAUGUGGCGCGGAAGUGUUUCUGAAUGUGGUCUUGCGUAAGUACAGUCGCCUCCAGAAUUGAUGCGUCAGCCUCCUCACCUUGACUUCUUGCCAAAAUCACAUGUUAGCUCAAGUGUUCUUAAAGGCUGCACCUGCCCCUCUGCCUGUAUCUCUGUAUACUUGUGUGCCUCGAAGGCCGAAGGGAAGCAAGCACCUGUGUAUGUCUGUCUGUAUCUGUGUGUGUGUGUGUGUGUGUGUGUGUGUGUGUGUGUGUGUGUGUGUGUGUGUGUGUGUGUGUGUGUGUGUGUGUGUGUUGCGUCACUGCCAUCUCCACCUCACUGUCGUUAGUCUCACGAUUACCUCAGUCAGUUUAUUUCGUUAUUUUUCGUUUUCCGUUUCCUUUUUUAUGUGUUUCUAGUCUGUUUCUUUCUGUUUAGUGUGUUGUGUGUACAUAUUUCCUUUUCUACCUAUUAUUAGUUUACCCUCGACGAAUUGGUGUAUGUAUUUGUAUAUAUACAUUUUUUUUUUGUAUUUCUUGACAUGACUUAGAAUUAGGAAACAUUAAAACAGAUAGAAAACACGGAAGAACGGAAAUAACGAGUAAAAUUCCACUUUUUCUUUUUUUUCCCUUCUAAUAAUCGUAGAGUCAGGAAAAAUCUUUAUCGUCAGUAUGUUCAAUUGUUUGUGUCUGUUUGUGUUUGUCCCGUCCAAUAAAAGUUUUUUUGUUACC